rnacentral:lncRNA from 1 species
GAUGAUGGUCAUUAAGUUCAAGAUGGGGAGGGGUUGGGGUGAGGGCUGGCCUGUCUGAGGAGGGGCAUUUGCAGUGCUGGAGCAAGCCAUGGAGGACAGGAAUUGCUCCAGUCAGAGGAACAGCAAGGACAAGGGGCCCAAGACGGCAUGUACUAGAGGCUCCACGCAUAGAAAAAGCCAGCCAUCCCCAGCGCUGUAACUGAGUGGCCAGUGGUGGGAGGUACUGUGUCACGCAAGGUGCUGAGUGCUUUACCUGUGGUGUCUUAUUUGACCUUCACAAGCACCCUGAGAGGAAGUUAAGGAUAUUAUCCUUUUCAGCACUGGAAUUUCAACAGCAGAGCAUUCAAGCAAGCAUGGGUCCAUCUAAGUAUGACUGUGCAGGUUGAAUGCCUAUGAAGUAAACUCUGUCCCCAUUUUAAGAUGAAGAAACUGAGGCUCAAGGAGGUUAAGUAAUGUCCCUGGGGGUCAUGCAACUAGGAAACAGCAAAGUUGAGAUCUGUGUUCUUUAUUACAGUCUUUGUAAUAGUUAAUUUUAUGCAUCAACUUGACUGGAUCACAGUGUGCCCAGAUAUUUGAUCAAACAUUAUUCUGAGUGUUUCCGUGACAAUGUUUUUGGAUACAAUCAACAUUUAUUUAAUUGGUUGAAGACCUGAAUAGAACAAAGAGUUCAAUUCUCUCAAGUAAGAGAAUUCCUCCUGUCUGACUACUUCAGAAUUGGGACAUUGGCUUUUUCCUGCCUCUACACUACAACUACACCAUCAAGCCUUCAGACAUGGAAAGGAACCACACUAUUGGCUCUCCUCGGUCUUCAGCUUGCCAACUCAAUGCAGAUCUUUGCAUUUGUCAGCCUUAUAACCAUGUGAGCUAAUUCCCUAAAAUAAAUGUCCUCAUUUAAAUGUAUUUCCUAUUGCUGUUUCUCUAGAGAACUCUAAUACAACCCCAUACAAAAGUACACCACACUAGAAGAAUUGGG